AGAGUUUGAUCCUGGCUCAGGAUGAACGCUGGCGGCGUGCCUAACACAUGCAAGUCGAGCGAUUCUCUUCGGAGAAGAGCGGCGGACGGGUGAGUAACGCAUGGGUAACCUGCCCUGUACACACGGAUAACAUACCGAAAGGUAUGCUAAUACGAGAUAAUAUGCUUUUAUCGCAUGGUAGAAGUAUCAAAGCUUUUGCGGUACAGGAUGGACCCGCGUCUGAUUAGCUAGUUGGUAAGGUAACGGCUUACCAAGGCGACGAUCAGUAGCCGACCUGAGAGGGUGAUCGGCCACAUUGGAACUGAGACACGGUCCAAACUCCUACGGGAGGCAGCAGUGGGGAAUAUUGCACAAUGGGCGAAAGCCUGAUGCAGCAACGCCGCGUGAGCGAUGAAGGCCUUCGGGUCGUAAAGCUCUGUCCUCAAGGAAGAUAAUGACGGUACUUGAGGAGGAAGCCCCGGCUAACUACGUGCCAGCAGCCGCGGUAAUACGUAGGGGGCUAGCGUUAUCCGGAAUUACUGGGCGUAAAGGGUGCGUAGGUGGUUUCUUAAGUCAGAGGUGAAAGGCUACGGCUCAACCGUAGUUAGCCUUUGAAACUGGGAAACUUGAGUGCAGGAGAGGAGAGUGGAAUUCCUAGUGUAGCGGUGAAAUGCGUAGAUAUUAGGAGGAACACCAGUUGCGAAGGCGGCUCUCUGGACUGUAACUGACACUGAGGCACGAAAGCGUGGGGAGCAAACAGGAUUAGAUACCCUGGUAGUCCACGCCGUAAACGAUGAGUACUAGCGUUCGGAGGUUACCCCCUUCGGUGGCGCAGCUAACGCAUUAAGUACUCCACCUGGGAAGUACGCUCGCAAGAGUGAAACUCAAAUGAAUUGACGGGGGCCCGCACAAGCGGUGGAGCAUGUGGUUUAAUUCGAUGCAACGCGAAGAACCUUACCUGGUCUUGACAUCCACAGAACUUAGCAGAGAUGCUUUGGUGCCUUCGGGAACUGUGAGACAGGUGCUGCAUGGCUGUCGUCAGCUCGUGUUGUGAAAUGUUGGGUUAAGUCCCGCAACGAGCGCAACCCUUAUCCUUUGUUGCCAGCGGUCCGGCCGGGAACUCAAAGGAGACUGCCAGUGAUAAACUGGAGGAAGGUGGGGAUGACGUCAAGUCAUCAUGGCCCUUACGACCAGGGCUACACACGUGCUACAAUGGCAUAUACAAAGAGAAGCGACCUCGCGAGAGCAAGCGGACCUCAUAAAGUAUGUCGUAGUCCGGAUUGGAGUCUGCAACUCGACUCCAUGAAGUCGGAAUCGCUAGUAAUCGUAGAUCAGAAUGCUACGGUGAAUACAAACCCGGGCCUUGUGCUCGCCGCCCGUCA
rnacentral:rRNA from 1 species